GAAGCUGGGAAAAAGCUUCCAUUUAUUCUAGUAUUUAAUCUCCAGUUAUGGUCUAUCUCUGCUCUUGCAUAUCAGAUUCCUGAAAGAUAAAGUUUACUAAACUUAUUAUUCCCAUAAAAAUUACUUUAGUAUCAAGUCGCUCUUUAAAUUCUAACUAAAUGGUUGUCCAUUUAGCUUCAUUAUUAAGCUUAGUGAUCUUCGUAUCAAUAUUGCUGUUUCCAAUAAAAGACGAAUUUAUCAAGGCAGUUUAUACUUUGUUGUAAAUCCCAGGUUCCAGUUAAACCAAACUACAGUUUGGUUCUAUAUUAUGCAUCUGAAUGACCUAUAAAUAAAGAUUCAUUAUUGGAUGGAAACCAAGACUCACGAUUCAAACUAAUUCCAAGUAUAGUUGAGGAAUAUUGGAUGGUCAAGAGAGCUGUUGGAACAAAAGCUUGCCUGUUGGGAAAAGCUGGGACUUGUAAAUACUUCAAGAAAGAUAAUGUUUUGGAGAUAGAUGUGGAUAUUGGAUCAUCCUCUGUAACCAGGAGUGUUGUUGGCCUUGUUAUUGGAUACGUCACAAGUCUAGUGGUUAACCUUGCAAUUUUAAUAGAGGUUUGGGCCAAUUCAGUCGUAAUAUUUAUGGAUAAAUUAUCCUUUGUCAGGAUUUUUGUUAUCAAAUGCA